CAGGCCUAACACAUGCAAGUCGAGCGGUAACAGAGAGUAGCUUGCUACUCUGCUGACGAGCGGCGGACGGGUGAGUAAUGCUUGGGAAUGUACCUUAUGGUGGGGGACAACAGUUGGAAACGACUGCUAAUACCGCAUAAUGUCUUCGGACCAAAGCGGGGGACCUUCGGGCCUCGCGCCAUAAGACCAGCCCAAGUGGGAUUAGCUAGUUGGUGAGGUAAUGGCUCACCAAGGCGACGAUCCCUAGCUGGUUUGAGAGGAUGAUCAGCCACACUGGGACUGAGACACGGCCCAGACUCCUACGGGAGGCAGCAGUGGGGAAUAUUGCACAAUGGGCGCAAGCCUGAUGCAGCCAUGCCGCGUGUGUGAGGAAGGCCUUCGGGUUGUAAAGCACUUUCAGUAAGGAGGAAAGGUUGGAUGUUAAUAGCAUUCAGCUGUGACGUUACUUACAGAAGAAGCACCGGCUAACUCCGUGCCAGCAGCCGCGGUAAUACGGAGGGUGCGAGCGUUAAUCGGAAUUACUGGGCGUAAAGCGUACGCAGGCGGUUUGUUAAGCGAGAUGUGAAAGCCCCGGGCUCAACCUGGGAACUGCAUUUCGAACUGGCAAACUAGAGUGUGAUAGAGGGUGGUAGAAUUUCAGGUGUAGCGG
rnacentral:rRNA from 1 species